GGACGAGACUCCGGUCAAGAAGGGACCAAGGGGACUAUGAUUACCUGAUAAUAUCUGAUGUCGCUAUCCCUGUAGAGACUUUAGAGUACAGUAAAGAUGUGCCUUGCUUUGUCCACAUAAAUGGGAAUAAGACACAUAAUACACAGUUAUCGAACCUGUCGGUAGUGGAUGGGAAAUAUUUGAAUGCUAGUCUCUUGAAAUACUUCGAUGACAGUGUCUUCAAGAUUAUAAGAGGCAUCUACGACGUCAUCACUAUGCCAUCUUUAAGACGAUCUAAAGAUUAUAUUCACAUCAAGGUCAACAAAGAGGUAAAACCUGGAGAUAACCAAGCUCGAUUUUCUGGUUUUGAAUACCUGGACAAAGACCAAAGGUACAUUCAGGUGGAAGCAGAUAUAAAAGCUAUCACAAAGCAGUUAAAGAGUCUGUUUGCCGAAAGUGACAUCUCAAAGGAUAUGAUUUCAGUUAUGAGUAAUAUCUUCUUUUUGUUAGAAGAAUUGCGACCUGAAAAUAUUCAGAAUUCUUUAACUUUUCAAACCUUCGGCGCUCUCAUUGAGGCCGGAAUGGACAAAACAUUGACAUCGCUCUAUGAAGGACGCAGUAAAGGAUCCUGUGAUAAGGAAUCCUGCAAUAACGACCAAAUCACCAAGGAUCCUAAAACAGAGGGAAAUAGUUCCCCCGGAACAACCAAAGAACUUGUAACAAUUCUCUUUGAUUAUAAAAGUGGUCGUGAUUUUAUUCCAGCUUUUCCGAUAAAGGGAGCACUACCAUGUUUAGUCGAAUGGAGAAGCAGGUUAAUGGAAUCAAAAUCAUUUUGGCCAAGUCGAGAAGCAAUUGACCGAAUCUAUGAAAGCGAAUGUUACGUCAUAGCAAAACCUGCAAUUGUCAAUCCAGAUGUUAGGAAAGAUUUUUGCAUUGGAUUUAACAACGCAGAGAUGAUUCUCUCUUCCACGUUUUCAGAUGGACAAAGACAAAGACAAAGACAAAGAGUUUUCAGAACGAUUGACUAGCUAUCAUUGGAAGAUGGCACUUUACUAUACCUUGGAAACAACCGAGUUAGAAAUGUUUGCAUCACAUUCCGGAAUCUUUAAUGCAUUGGAGAAGGUUCUUAAUUUCAUGGUUACCUGUCUUAAACGGCGCUUUCUACGACAUUAUUUCAUAAACAGUAAUUUAAUUGCUCAUUUAUUAGCGGAAGAUUCUCGCCAAAUCAUCUCUGCAAUACAAGCCAUCAUAUCGGAUCCAGUAAAAGCUUUAGAUGUUUAUUAUUUUCACGAAACGGACGAUGGGAAACUCGUUGAUCAAAUUCCGAACGAUCAAAUUGAGGACUUGAGACACCAAGAAGGCGAUUCUUUGCGGAAAACCCAUGCGGAAGCAAUCGUUUCGUUGGUUAGUCGUCUCCAAACUGGCACAGGCAACGAUUCUUCUAAGUUUGUGGCGGCCAUUGUUGACACUUUGGCCGUUGUUGCAAAGGCUGAGGCAAAUUUCGAUUGCUAUGCUCAUGCGUUUUACUCUUAUAUUCUUCAAAUCAUUGGUGAUUAUUUGAACACGAAAUUUCAAACAGGGGAAGACCGAAAGAGAAUUAAAGCUCAAAGAAUUUUCACCAAUAAUUAAAUUGUAUCUGUCGCAUUCUUUUGGAUGAUAUAUUUAUCAGUCACUUUCACACGCAGUGUCGCGUGUGAGAAAUUUUAGCAAGGAUUGCAAGAACUUCAUCGUCGUGGAUAUUUCUUGUUUGAACUAGUCCUGACCAAGACUUCUAAUGUAAAUUUUGUGUUAUGCACUGGAUAAUGUUUGAUGCAAAUAAAAACUCGGUGUGAAAUAGAUUAUUGCAGU
rnacentral:misc_RNA from 1 species